GCUGGUGUAGCUCAGUUGGCUAGAGCAGCUGAUUUGUAAUCAGCAGGUCGGGGGUUCGAGUCCCUUCACCAGCU
rfam:Sulfurovum sp. AS07-7 Sequence0000000148, whole genome shotgun sequence.